UGUCCAGCAACUUCUAUCCCUACCUCCUCGCGGUAUCGGCCGGAAACUAUGAGCAACCUUAGGGAAGA
rnacentral:ribozyme from 1 species